CCCACACCCACAGCAUAUGGAGAUUCCCAGGCUAGGGGUCAAAUCAGAGCUGCAGCUGCUGGCCUAUACCACAGCCACAGCAAUGCAGGAUCCAAGCUGUGUCUGUGACCUUCACCACAAUGAAUGCACAGCAAUGCUGGAUCCCCAACCCUCUGAGCAAGGCCAGGGACGCAACCACAUGGUUCCUUAACGACUGAGCCACAACAGGAACUCUAGAACAUUCAUAUUUAAAUUUGGACCUUGGGAUAUGGCUUAAGAGAUGAUUUUCAACUUGGUGGUGCCAAGGCUGCAGGAUAUUUAGACAUCUUUAUUGCUAUUUUUUAAAAUUCUAUUUAUUUUUGAAAUCUGUAUUAUCUCGCACUUCUGACCCUACUGGCUAAUCCACUCCCCCAACCAGUGAUCUGCUUGUAUGUUGUGUGGGUGUUCCAUACAGAGGAUGCUUGUGUCCUUUUCCUCAUACUCUGUGUACACAUGCCUGUAAACACCAAUUAUAUGCAAUAACGUAUUUUCUUUUUUAUGCUUUAACAUUAAAACUGCAACCCCUGCACCCUUACCCAGUGAAUGCCUCCUAUUUUUUCUCUUGCUAUCCAGUCCCAUCAACACUUAUCAUAGUAUAUAAUGUGCAGUUUACUUACAUUAUUAUCUUUUUUCUUGGUAGAAUGAAGCGCUCUAUGAGGGUAGAGAGUAUUUCUUUAUGUUUUAUUAUUAUAUACCUAAUAUAGUAAUAGGUGUAAAUAUUUGUUGAAUGAAUGAGUAAACAUAUCAUUUGAUUUUAUAUAAUGCAAGUUAUUAGAAAGACUUGACCUGCAGUUGUAAGUGAAACAUUACAAGAAAAAAAUAAAUGCAAUUAAGGUCAGUAUAAAUUAACAUCUUUUAAAGUACUUUAAUUUUGCUUUGUUUUAUUUUUAUAAGAGAGAAUUUAGCAUCUGCCAUUUUGUUUCACUUUUAUAGUUUUUUAAAAUUGAGAAGCAGUAGAAGCCAUUAUGAAUAAAAGAUUAGGUGAUUAUAAGAUUGUGAAUCUAUAAUUCAUUAGAGCCUUCAUUUCUCUCAAUCUCUAAUAGUCAAAUGCUGAAUCUUCUUUAGACUAGUCCAAUAAGUGCAAAUAAAUGGGAGGACUAAGCUAAUACUAUUAAAGUGUCACAGAAUAAGCAAAUCACCUUGGCUAUGUUUUAGGACAAAAUAGUCCAACUAUUCUAUGGCAAAGGAGGGCAUUACUGUGUAACAGAGGAUAGUCAAUAUGUAUUUGUACCCUUAACUUAUCAGAAAAACCAAAAAAUUCUCAUUUAAUCUCAUAGAAUACCAAAAAUAAUAUAAAAACUGUCAAAUAUUUUAAAUUUAAAAGACUGAAAACUCAGUAUUACUUACCUGAAAGAAAAUCUUGUCUUAAUAUCGAUACAUAUUACAAUGUGAUAUCUUAGAUAUUUGUGGUAUAUUUGUGUGUGUACAUAACAUUGUGCAUGCCUGUGUAUUUAAAAUGUUGCUAGGAAUUAGCAUGUUUUUAAAUGCAGAGAAGCAUUGCUGACAAUAAAAAUUUACAAGAUAAUUCCAUAAAUAUAAAUACUUCUUUAUUAUCAUAUUUAAAGUUUAACUUAGUUUAACUUAAAAACAUUUUUUUGUAUCAACUAUCAGGUUUUUUGCAAUCCAUUGAUUUUUUUUCUUAUUUUUGAUUUAACGUAACUUUUAAAAACCUGAUGAUCAGAUUUAUCACAACUAAAAUUGUCUUUUUUGAUUGAACAAUUGCAGUAUCCAUUUUUUUUUUUUUUUUAUUAAACUUGCCUAGUUCAUUAGUGGAGGUUCAUGGUUAGAAAAGUAUAAUAGAAAUAAGUAAAUAAAGUUUCCAUACGUUUAAUUGUCUAUUAUAAAUUAGAUUUCACUCAAGCUACUGAGAAAAGAGUGUGGAAACAGUUAAUUUAGUGAAAUGGAAAAGAAAAUCAAGAUAGUAGAUACAAAAAGGCAGCCUGAUAGCACAUAACACUGUGGUGCAAAUGCCAUCAUGAUAUCCCUCUGUCUUUGGUGCUUUUCCCUUUUUCUUUUAAUUCCCUGGGUUGAGUUAUAAUCAAAUGAUUUCUUCUCCUGGACAAAGUGUAUCAGAAAGUGUGUAGGUGGCUGUAGGCACCCACAAACACAGCCCUCACUUUUCAAACACCAAGGACUGCUGAAUUAAUUAGAUCCUUUCGUAAAAAGAAAGUGUAAAGUGAAGCAGUGUUCUAUCUUUUCUAGGGCCGCUCCCUCUGCAUAUGGAUAUUAGGGGUCUAAUCAGAGCUGUAGUGACUGGCCUACACCAGAGCCACAGCAAUGUGGGAUCUGAACCACGUCUGCAACCUACACCACAGCUCAGGGCAACAAUGGAUCCUUAACCCACUGAGCGAGGCCAGGGAUUGAACCCUCAACCUCAGGGUUUCUAGUCAGGUUUGUCAACCACUGAGCCACGGCAGGAUGUCCAAAGCAGGGUUCUUUCACCUGCAUUUAAAGUUUUCCUGGUGCCUUCAUAGGCACAGGCUCUACGCAAAGUUCUGCCGGUCAGUUUCAGCAUCCACCAAUAUAAGUUAUUGAAGUAAGGAGGGAAAGGAAAUACUAAGGUUAAAAUGGUAAUAAAUGUUUGUUGAAAGAAGCCAUUUUUUUUAAGUUACUGUUCUUUGGGGUUUUUUUUUUGUUUUUAUUAAAAUGGAAUGUUUUUUCAAUGGCCUUGGAACCAAACAUGACCUCAUUUGUCUGCCAUUACUAUAAAAAUGUACCCUUUUAGUAACUCUUGAGUACACAAUACAGUAUUGUUAACCACAGCCACAGUUCUGAACAUUUCAUUUCUAGAACUCACUCAUCUUACUUAAGUGACUCUAUACCCUUGAUGAGAUAUUUCUUUCAUCAAAGAGGUAUUUGUCAGUAUACAAAUACAGACAGAAUGAAUGUUUUCUAAAAUUAUCUAUUAAGAGAAAAAUAUUAAGAUAGAAAUCAUCUUCUAGGUAAAAAGUGUGUCCCUGUGUGUUUGUAUGUAUGUAUAUUUAAAUCUAGACAUUGUUUGGAAAAAUAUUUGUAAUGAAAUGUAAUUGAUAUACAAUGUGAUACUGGUAUCAUGUGUACAACAUAAUGAUUCAAUAUUUGUUUAUGUUGUGAAAUGACCACCAAAAUAAGUCUAGUUAACAUUCAUAACCAUAGAUAAUUAAAUAACUUUUUCAUGUGAUGAGGACUUUUAAGAUCCACUCUUACAAUUUUCAAUUAUACAAUACAGUAUUAUUCACUAGACUUACCAUGCUGUGUAUAAUAUCCCCAUGACUUACAACUGGAAAUUUGUACCUUUUAACUCCUUCACCCAUUUUCCUUGCCCUUUGCCUCUGCCAGCACCAGUCUGUUCUGUGUUUGCGUUUUAAGCUUCCACUUAAAAGUGAUAUCAUAUGGUAUUUAUCCUUCUCUGUCUGACUUAUUUCACUUAGCAUAAUGCCCUCAGGGUCCAUCCAUGUUGCUGCAAGUGGCAAGACUUCAUUCAUUUUUAUGGCUGAAUAAUAUUACUGUGUGUGCAUGAUCGUGAUCUUCUUUAUUCAUGUAUUGAUGGACACUCAAGGUGGUUUCUAUAUCUUGGCUAUUGUAAAUAAUGCUGCAGUGAAUAUGAGUGAGGGUUUCAUAUAUCUUUUCGAGUUAGUAAUUGUGUUUUUUUCUUCAGAUGAAUACCUAGAAGUGGAACAUGGUAGUUCUAUUUUAAUUUUUUGAGGAAGCUCCAUACUAUUUUUCAAAGUGGCUGCACCAAUUUACAUUCCCACCAAUAAGACACAAAGAUUGCCUUUUCUCCACAUCCUCAACAGUACAUUUUAUUUCUUGCCUUUUUGACAACCAGUGUAAUAGGUGUGGGGUGAUUUCUCAUUUGGAUUUGGUUUGCAUUUCCCUAAUGAUUAGGGAUGUUGAGCAUCUUUUCAUGUAUUUAUUGGCCAUUGGUAUGUUGUCUUUGGGGAAAUGUCCAUUCGGAUCCUCUGCCCAUUUUUAUUUUUUGUCUUUUGAAGUCCACACCUACAGCAUAUGGAGCUUCCCAGGCUAGGGGUCUAAUCAGAGCUGUAACCGUCAGCCUGUGCCAGAGCCACAGCAACUCAGGAUCUGAGCCGCAUCUGCGACCUACACCACAGCUCAUGGCAAUGCCGGAUCCUUAACCCACUGAGCAAGGCCAGGGAUUGAACCCUCAACCUCAUGGUUACUGUCAGGUUCAUUAACCACUGAGCCACAAUGGGAACUCCCCCCCUGCCCAUUUUUAAAUUGGAUUGUUUUCCUGCUAUUGAGUGUUAUGAUUUAUUUGCAUAUUUUAGACAUUAACCCCUUAUCAGAUGUGUUGUGCAAAUAUUUUCCCCAUUCAGUAGGUUGCCUGUUCAUUUUACUGAUGGUCUCUUCUUUUGUACCGAAGCUUUUUUUUUUUUUUUCUUAGUUUGAUGUAGUCUCACUUGAUUGUUUUUGUUUUGGUGUAGGAUCCAAGAUAUCACCCUCAUAACUGAUGUCAAGGAUCUAACCCACCUAUGUUUUCUUUUAGGAGUUUUAGGGGUUUCAGUCUUAUAUUUAAGUCUUUAAUCCAUUUCAAGUUAUUUUGUGUGUGAUGUGAGGUAGGAAUCUAGUUUCCUUCUUUUGCACAUGGCUACCCUGUUUUCCCAGCCCUGUUUAUUAAAGAGGCUGUCCUUCUGCCCUUUGUAUUCUAGGCUUUGACAUAAGUUAAUUAACCAUAUCUGCAGAGGUUUGUUUCUGGUCUCUCUUGUCUAUUCCAUUGAUCCAUGUGCUUAUUUUUGAUUAUUAUAGCUUUGUAAUAUAGUCUGAAAUUGGGAGCUUGGGGCCUCCAGCUUUGUUCUUCCUUUUCAAGAUUGCUUUGGCUAUUUGGGGUCUUUAAUGGUUGCAUAAAAUUUUAGAAUCGUUUGUUCUAUUUCUAUGAAAGUUGCCAUUGAAAUUUUGAUAGGGGUUACAUUGAAUGUGCAGAUUGCUUUGGGCAGUAAGGGAAUUUUAACAAUGCUAUUUCUUCCAACACAUAGCAUGGAAAAUCUACAUUAAUUGGUCUCGGCUGAUGGGUGUCAGUCUGCUGAGAGUGCUUGCCCUCUAUGAUGCUUAAAGUUCCAUGAGACCCAGGAACUAAGCCCCUGGCCUCCAGAAUCAGGUGAUCAAAGGUAUCCCCUGAGUCAAAGCUAUAAAAACUAGGUCACCAGACAUAAAAACAUGUACACCAUAUGUGUGUGGAAGAUCACCUCUGGGAGACAGUGG
rnacentral:lncRNA from 1 species